rnacentral:SRP_RNA from 1 species
CUAUGGUCCCCUCGCAUUGAUACUCCGUGAACUCGGCCAGGACCGGAAGGUAGCAACCGCAGCGGACGACUCAAGUGCCGGGGUGUGGCUAUAGGGU